CGACGCAUUGCCUCGUUUGCCGCAUUUCGGCAUGGACGUGAGGGUGGUCUUACUUCUGGCUUUGCUCGUUGGAAUAAUCCAUGCUAAUCCCCGCUGCUGGAAUGUAAAAAAUGGCAUCGUCUGCUUCGGCAAGAAUUACUACUACAGUAAAACAACCGAUCCGGAUGGAAGCGUUCAAGAACAAAUGUCUUUUAGCUCCAGCCAAGCGAUAAUAGUUUAGCAGAGUAGAGCACUUGCUUCGAUGUUUUCAUAGCAGAACGUUUCCCGGCGCAUCGCUCCCUGGGGGAUGUUACCGGUCUCCUUGGGUCGUUGUCAUGGAGUCCAACGCGGCCGGACUGGGCCUUCCGGGGAAGACCGUCCCAUGCCGCCACCGGGCUCCUUCGGGUCCUGUCGUGUGAGGCGCUGGCAUUCGCCAUCUCCUCGCUUGUCUACCGCUCUUCUCCAUUUCUGCAAUCCUGGUUAAGCGACAAAGCUCGCGCAGGGUUUAAGAAUAUGUUGCUAAAAUUAAAUAUGUUCAUUCUGAUCUCAUUGAA